GACGAACGCUGGCGGCGUGCCUAACACAUGCAAGUCGAACGGGGCAGCAAUGCCCAGUGGCGAACGGGUGCGUAACACGUGAGGAACUUGUCCAUCGGCGGGGGAUAGCCGGCCCAACGGCCGGGUAAUACCGCGUACGUCGGCGAGACCGCAUGGUCUUGCCGGGAAAGCGGCAAUGCACCGAUGGAGAGCCUCGCGGCCUAUCAGCUAGUUGGUGAGGUAAUGGCUCACCAAGGCGACGACGGGUAGCUGGUCUGAGAGGAUGAUCAGCCACAUUGGGACUGAGACACGGCCCAGACUCCUACGGAGGCAGCAGUGGGGAAUAUUGCGCAAUGGGCGAAAGCCUGACGCAGCGACGCCGCGUGUGGGAUGACGGCCUCGGUUGUAACCACUGUCGCGAGGGACGAAGAGUCUGACGGUACCUCCGAAGGAAGCACGGCUAACUCUGUGCCAGCAGCCGC
rnacentral:rRNA from 1 species